rnacentral:rRNA from 1 species
CAGUCGCCACGGUAAUACGUAGGUGGCAAGCGUUGUCCGGAAUUAUUGGGCGUAAAGGGCUCGCAGGCGGUUUCUUAAGUCUGAUGUGAAAGCCCCCGGCUCAACCGGGGAGGGUCAUUGGAAACUGGGAAACUUGAGUGCAGAAGAGGAGAGUGGAAUUCCACGUGUAGCGGUGAAAUGCAUAGAGAUGUGGAGGAACACCAGUGGCGAAGGCGACUCUCUGGUCUGUAACUGACGCUGAGGAGCGAAAGCGUGGGGAGCGAACAGGAUUAGAUACCCCAGUAGUCCCUGUCUCUUAUAC